rnacentral:rRNA from 1 species
UACGGGGGGGAGCAAGCGUUGUUCGGAUUUACUGGGCGUAAAGGGCGCGUAGGCGGCCACCGCAAGUCAAUUGUGAAAUCUCCGGGCUUAACUCGGAAAGGUCAACUGAUACUGCGGGGCUAGAGUGCGGAAGGGGGCAACUGGAAUUCUCGGUGUAGCGGUAGAAAUGACGUAGAUAUCGAGAGAAACACCUGCGGCGAAGGCGGGUUGCUGGGCCGACACUGACGCUGAUGACGCGAAAGCCAGGGGAGCGAACGGG